rnacentral:rRNA from 1 species
UACGAAGGGGGCUAGCGUUGCUCGGAAUCACUGGGCGUAAAGCGCGCGUAGGCGGGUUGGUAAGUCCGCUGUGAAAGCCCGGAGCUUAACUCCGGAGGGUCGGUGGAUACUGCCAGUCUUGAAGGUGCUAGGGGGAGAUGGAAUUACCGGUGUAGCGGUGAAAUUCGUAGAUAUCGGGAGGAACACCAGUGGCGAAGGCGGCGACCUGGACGGACACUGACGCUGAGACGCGAAAGCGUGGGGAGCAAACAGG